CCUGGUCCUAGAAGCACUGCAGGUGUGGCUGCUGCAUCACAAGUGCAUGAGUAGGUGGCAGAGAGGAGACAGGCUCUGCUCUGCUCAGUGUUCUGACCUGUGAAUAUGUGAAUGAUUAAUAGCUUAACAUU